rnacentral:rRNA from 1 species
GACGAACGCUGGCGGCGUGCUUAACACAUGCAAGUCGAACGGAAAGGCCUCUUUCGGGGGGUACUCGAGUGGCGAACGGGUGAGUAACACGUGAGUAACCUGCCCUUGACUUUGGGAUAACUUCAGGAAACUGGGGCUAAUACCGGAUAGGAGCUCCUGCUGCAUGGUGGGGGUUGGAAAGUUUCGGCGGUUGGGGGUGGGCUCGCGGCUUAUCAGCUUGUUGGUGGGGUAGUGGCUUACCAAGGCCUUGACGGGUAGCCGGCCUGAGAGGGUGACCGGCCACAUUGGCACUGAGAGACGGCCCAGACGCCUACGGGUGGCAGCAGUGGGGAAUAUUGCACAAUGGGUAGCAGCCUGAUGCAGCAGGGCCGUGUGCGGGAUGACGGCCUUCGGGUUGUAGACCGCUUUCGCUCAUGACGAAGCUUUGUGUGACGGUAGUGGGUAAAGAAGCACCGGCUAACUACGUG